rnacentral:rRNA from 1 species
GGGUGAGUAACGCGUAUCCAACCUGCCCACCACUUGGGGAUAACCUUGCGAAAGUAAGACUAAUACCCAAUGAUAUCUCUAGAAGACAUCUGAAAGAGAUUAAAGAUUUAUCGGUGAUGGAUGGGGAUGCGUCUGAUUAGCUUGUUGGCGGGGUAACGGCCCACCAAGGCAACGAUCAGUAGGGGUUCUGAGAGGAAGGUCCCCCACAUUGGAACUGAGACACGGUCCAAACUCCUACGGGAGGCAGCAGUGAGGAAUAUUGGUCAAUGGACGAGAGUCUGAACCAGCCAAGUAGCGUGCAGGAAGACGGCCCUAUGGGUUGUAAACUGCUUUUAUAAGGGAAUAAAGUUAGUCUCGUGAGACUUUUUGCAUGUACCUUAUGAAUAAGGACCGGCUAAUUCCGUGCCAGCAGCCGCGGUAAUACGGAAGGUCCGGGCGUUAUCCGGAUUUAUUGGGUUUAAAGGGAGCGUAGGCCGGAGAUUAAGCGUGUUGUGAAAUGUAGACGCUCAACGUCUGCACUGCAGCGCGAACUGGUUUCCUUGAGUACGCACAAAGUGGGCGGAAUUCGUGGUGUAGCGGUGAAAUGCUUAGAUAUCACGAAGAACUCCGAUUGCGAAGGCAGCUCACUGGAGCGCAACUGACGCUGAAGCUCGAAAGUGCGGGUAUCGAACAGGAUUAGAUACCCUGGUAGUCCGCACGGUAAACGAUGGAUGCCCGCUGUUGGUCUGAAUAGGUCAGCGGCCAAG